UCAUGCUUGGUUUAUGUUUGUUUGGGUAUCUUUAUUCAACAAAUAGUUAUUUUUAACUAAGAAUAUUUUGUAUGCGUUUGUAAGAGGUCUGGGGUAAUGCCAAUCAGAUCAUGGUAGUUGUAUACUAUUGGCAUUAC
rnacentral:tRNA from 1 species